AUGACAAAGAAAAGAAGGAACAAUGGUCGUGCCAAAAAGGGCUGUGGCCAUGUGCAACCUAUUUAUUCGGUGCACAAACUGUGCCCGAUGCAUUCCCAAAGACAAAGCUAUAAAGAAGUUCGUCACUUGGAACGUAGUGGAAGCCGCAGCUAUAUGAGACAUUUCUGAAGCAUCUAAGCGUCUUCCACACCUAUGUGCUUUCCAAGCUCUAUGUGAAGCUACAUUACUGUGUGAGUUUUGCUAGUCACAGCGAGGUAGUCAGGAACCACUCCUGGGAAGCCUGCAAGGACCGAACACCUCCACCCAGAUUUAGACCCGCGGGUGCUGCCCCACGACCUCCACCAAAGCCCAUGUAAGGAGGUGAGUUCUUGAGGACUGAAGAAUAACUAUCCUUUGGGAAAAAAUAAAAUGGAAAUUAUACUU